ACAGGUGCAGCAUUGUUGUCGUCCGCUCGUCGUGAGAGAUGGUGUUAAAAGCCCAGCAGACGAGCAACACCCCUUGAUCUUUGCCCCCUCGUUAAGUUGGGCACUUUUAAGAGACCGCCGGUGACAAACCGGAGGAAGGUGGGGAUGACGUCAAGUCAUCAUGCCCCUUAUGACCAGGGCUACACACGUGCUACAAUGGUAGGGACAGAGAGCUGCAAGACCGCGAGGGCAAGCCAAUCUCAGAAACCCUUUCUCAGUUCGGAUUGGAGUCUGCAACUCGCCUCCAUGAAGUCGGAAUCGCUAGUAAUCGCGGAUCAGCAUUGCUCCGGGGAUUACUUUCCCGGCCUUGGUCCCCCCCGCCCUUCCCCCCAGGGGAUUUGUAACAACCAGAAGUCAGGUAGGUAACCUUCUGGAGGCAGCUGC
rnacentral:rRNA from 1 species